ACAAAUCAUCUAAGUUCAUGACUAUCCAAAAGUCCACAAAUGGUCAUCCAGCAAGAAAAAUACCAAACAAAUCAGAAAUCCAUCCAAACAUGCCACAAAAAUUCACAAGCAAACCUAACAUCCAUAAGUAACAUCAUGCAAAAAAAUCUCAUCAAUUGGCAUUUAUUUGGCAUGGUAAAGAAAAUCCACAAGUUGGACAAGCAAUGGUGUGACACACAUUGUCACACCCACAUUAAACAGAUCAUAUCUCAACAACCAGAAAUGAGAAAAA
rnacentral:lncRNA from 1 species